rnacentral:rRNA from 1 species
UACGUAGGGGGCAAGCGUUGUUCGGAAUUACUGGGCGUAAAGGGCGCGUAGGCGGUCUUGUAAGUCUUGUGUGAAAUCCCUCGGCUUAACUGAGGAACUGCACGGGAUACUGCGAGACUUGAGUUCGGGAGAGGGAAGCGGAAUUCCGGGUGUAGCGGUGAAAUGCGUAGAUAUCCGGAGGAACACCGGUGGCGAAGGCGGCUUCCUGGACCGACACUGACGCUGAGGCGCGAAAGCUAGGGGAGCAAACGGG